rnacentral:lncRNA from 1 species
UGUUUUUUUUUUAUCUGUAACUGUUUUGGUUCCCUCUUCUUAAUGCAAAGGCAAAACACCUGUCAAUUUAGUUUCAAAAGAAAAGAAAAAUACUACCUUGUUUAGGGGUUGUAAGGAUACAUCGUCGGAUUCUGCAGCGCCCCUUGUGGGAUUUAGGCCACUCCAGGUGUUUUCGUUUUUUUUAUUAGUUGUAAGCUUGUCAUGUCAUUU